GGCUGUCGUCAGCUCGUGUCGUGAGAUGUUGGGUUAAGUCCCGCAACGAGCGCAACCCCUAUUGUUAGUUGCCAUCAUUCAUUGGGCACUCUAGCGAGACUGCCGGUAAUAAACCGGAGGAAGGUGGGGAUGACGUCAAAUCAUCAUGCCCCUUAUGACCUGGGCUACACACGUGCUACAAUGGUUGGUACAACGAGUUGCGAGUCGGUGACGGCGAGCUAAUCUCUUAAAGCCAAUCUCAGUUCGGAUUGUAGGCUGCAACUCGCCUACAUGAAGUCGGAAUCGCUAGUAAUCGCGGAUCAGCACGCCGCGGUGAAUACGUUCCCGGGCCUU
rnacentral:rRNA from 1 species